rnacentral:rRNA from 1 species
GACGAACGCUGGCGGCGUGCUUAACACAUGCAAGUCGAACGGAAAGGCCCUGCUUUUGUGGGGUGCUCGAGUGGCGAACGGGUGAGUAACACGUGAGUAACCUGCCCUUUACUUUGGGAUAACUUCAGGAAACUGGGGCUAAUACCGGAUAUGAGCUCCUUCUGCAUGGUGUGGGUUGGAAAGUUUCGGCGGUUGGGGAUGGACUCGAGGCUUAUCAGCUUGUUGGUGGGGUAGUGGCUUACCAAGGCUUUGACGGGUAGCCGGCCUGAGAGGGUGACCGGCCACAUUGGGACUGAGAUACGGCCCAGACUCCUACGGGAGGCAGCAGUGGGGAAUAUUGCACAAUGGGCGGAAGCCUGAUGCAGCAACGCCGCGUGCGGGAUGACGGCCUUCGGGUUGUAAACCGCUUUCGCCUGUGACGAAGCGUGAGUGACGGUAAUGGGUAAAGAAGCACCGGCUAACUACGUG